AUGAUAAAGUCAGCGUAAUUGUGAACAUGUAAGUGCUUACCACAUGCUGGCCCUUACUAUAGGUCCUUGCCCCUCCAGUGGCCCUGCCCUGGUCCUCUCCAAACCUCAGUUGACUAAACUGUAAAAUGGGAAUAAUAAUAAUUAUAGUGAUUAAAUGAGAAAGUAAAACUGCGUCAUCAAUCUGUUUGUUUCCCUGGGAGUUUGUGGGAUAGGCAGUACUUUUAAGCUUGUCAGGCCAUGGAUUCUAGCGCUGGCCCACCCACAGCGAUCUACUUAAUACUUUGUGCUGACCUUUUCUGGCGCCAGUGCCAACCCAAGCCCCCAGGAUCCUUUCCCUCUGGACCAGGCCACUGCGGGUUUGUCUGAAUGGUCGCAGGGGCCUGCAGAACGCCCUGAUGACCCAGGAAGCGCACGGAAGGGUGGAAGGUCCCCAUAGUAGAAGACCGGUGGGUGUGCCCUUGGGGGCUGGAGUCUGCUAUUCCAGAAAAAAGAAACUUAAAACGUUGUAAAGGAGAGAGCCGCGGGGCAGGGAGCCAUUUAUCUCCGGGCCAGCUUCCAGCUCUGAUAACUGAGGGCGAGGGGACCAAGGUUGGCACCAGCGUUACAGCCGCACCCAGCCCAGCCCAGCCCAGCUCAGCCGGCGAGGAAGCGGCGGGGAGUCCGCGCCCCGGCUCGCCUUGCCUCCACUGGAUGAGGUCCCCCCUCCCCCCACCCCCACCCUGCAGCCGCGGGACCCCCUGCUCCGCCGCGCUUACUCUGCAAACAGCCGGCUGCAACCAGGCACAAGCUUUGAAUGGAGACCAGGAAGUAUCAGCCCUAGGUGAAUGGUUAUGAAGAUCAUCUCCAGAGCUGUUUUGGGGAUCAAUGAAAUGAUGAAUGUGAAUGAUAAGAGGCCAUAUGGAGCUCAGUUGCCCCAGCACUGUCGUGUGGAGGCCCAGGACCACCCCCAUUGCCCCGAUACCAUUGCGUGGAGGGACAGCCACCCCUGGACUGCCAUAUGUGACCCCGGACUGCCAAGUGGGCCCUAUUUGGAUCCACACCAUAGAGGUACCUGGGCCAUAAAGGCCACUGUUAUGACUCCCAGAAGAUGGAGCAGAAGUGAGCAACAGAGUGAGGGCCACUCUGAGGCUCCUUGAUGAAAUUUGAAGCCCAUUGGGAAAGUGAAGAAAAUAUCUGCAAUAAAGACACACCAAAUCAUUGUGGUUGGUAAGUUGGUGAGAUCAGCACUUCCCAGCAGAACCCAGACUUGCUUCGGGGAAAGGGUGGUUUCAACAUGUGGUAGAAACUUGCAGAGUUCAAUCCUAUAAGCGGUCAGGGAGCUCAACUUGGGCUUUGCAGCCAGAA